GCCGCGGUGGCGGAAUUGGUAGACGCGCAGGUCUCAAAAACCUGUGGUAGAUAACUACCGUGAGAGUUCGACCCUCUCCCGCGGCA
rnacentral:tRNA from 5 species